CCGUCGAUAGCUCAGUUGGUAGAGCGGAGGACUGUAGAGUUGCAGAAUCCUUAGGUCUCUGGUUCGAAUCCGGCUCGACGGA
rnacentral:tRNA from 1 species